rnacentral:sRNA from 1 species
GGUUUUUACCCAGUAUCUCAAGGUACGCUUGGGCUUCCGACCAUUGCUUCGGCUUUGUGUCGACAACCAAUAUUUUUGGGCAGCGCCGAAGGGGGUCCCCCGGGCGCAA